rnacentral:rRNA from 1 species
GACGAACGCUGGCGGCGUGCUUAACACAUGCAAGUCGAACGGAAAGGCCUGCUUUCCCUUGUGGAUUGCGGGUACUCGAGUGGCGAACGGGUGAGUAACACGUGAGUGAUCUGCCCCCAACUUGGGUAUAAGCCUGGGAAACUGGGUCUAAUUCCCGAUAGGACUGCAGGGUGGUGCCUGUGGUGGAAAACGAUUUUCUAGUGGUUGGGGAUGAGCUCGCGGCCUAUCAGCUUGUUGGUGGGGUAAUGGCCUACCAAGGCGGCGACGGGUAGGCGGCCUGGGAGGGUGGACGGCCACAUUGGGACUGAGAUACGGCCCAGAAUCCUACGGGAGGCAGCAGUGGGGAAUAAUGCACGAUGGGCGGAAGCCUGAUGCAGCGACGCCGCGUGGGGGAUGACGGCCUUCGGGUUGUAAACUCCUUUCGACCGCGAGGAAGCCACCUGGUUGGAAGGGUGGUGACGGUAGUGGUAGAAGAAGCACCGGCUAACUACGUG